CUGAGUAGCGGCGAGCGAAACGGAAUUAGCCCAAACCAAGAGGCUUGCCUCUUGGGGUUGUAGGACACUCUAUACGGAGUUACAAAGGAACGAAGUAAAUGAAGCGACCUGGAAAGGUCCGUCGAAGAAGGUAACAACCCUGUAGUUGAAACUUCGUUCCCUCUUGAGUGGAUCCUGAGUACGGCGGAACACGUGAAAUUCCGUCGGAAGCUGGGAGGACCAUCUCCCAAGGCUAAAUACUACCUAGUGACCGAUAGUGAACCAGUACCGUGAGGGAAAGGUGAAAAGCACCCCGGAAGGGGAGUGAAAGAGAUCCUGAAACCGUGUGCCUACAAGUAGUCAGAGCCCGUUAAUGGGUGAUGGCGUGCCUUUUGUAGAAUGAACCGGCGAGUUACGAUCCCAUGCAAGGUUAAGCUGAUAAGGCGGAGCCGUAGCGAAAGCGAGUCUGAAUAGGGCGUUUAGUAUGUGGUUGUAGACCCGAAACCAGGUGAUCUACCCAUGUCCAGGGUGAAGUUCAGGUAACACUGAAUGGAGGCCCGAACCCACGCACGUUGAAAAGUGCGGGGAUGAGGUGUGGGUAGCGGAGAAAUUCCAAUCGAACCUGGAGAUAGCUGGUUCUCUCCGAAAUAGCUUUAGGGCUAGCCUCAUGUUGUGAGAGUCUUGGAGGUAGAGCACUGAUUGGACUAGGGGCCCCCAACGGGUUACCGAAUUCAGUCAAACUCCGAAUGCCAAAGACUUAUCCAUGGGAGUCAGACUGCGAGUGAUAAGAUCCGUAGUCAAAAGGGAAACAGCCCAGACCACCAGCUAAGGUCCCCAAGUAUACGUUAAGUGGAAAAGGAUGUGGAGU
rnacentral:rRNA from 1 species